rnacentral:rRNA from 1 species
GACGAACGCUGGCGGCGUGCUUAACACAUGCAAGUCGAACGCUGAAGCACCAGCUUGCUGGUGUGGAUGAGUGGCGAACGGGUGAGUAAUACGUGAGUAACCUGCCCUUGACUCUGGGAUAAGCCCGGGAAACUGGGUCUAAUACUGGAUGCUACAUGUCACCGCAUGGUGGUGUGUGGAAAGGGUUUACUGGUCUUGGAUGGGCUCACGGCCUAUCAGCUUGUUGGUGAGGUAAUGGCUCACCAAGGCGACGACGGGUAGCCGGCCUGAGAGGGUGACCGGCCACACUGGGACUGAGACACGGCCCAGACUCCUACGGGAGGCAGCAGGGGGGAAGAUUGCACAAUGGGCGAAAGCCUGAUGCAGCGACGCCGCGUGAGGGAUGACGGCCUUCGGGUUGUAAACCUCUUUCAGCAGGGAAGAAGCCACAAGUGACGGUACCUGCAGAAGAAGCGCCGGCUAACUACGUG